CGGGGUGGAGGUAACGCGUGGGUAACCGUGCCUGUACUGGGGACGAACAGUUGGAAACGACUGCUAAUACCGCAUAAGCGCACAGCUUCGCAUGAAGCAGUGCGAAAAACUCCGGUGGUACAAGAUGGACCCGCGUCUGAUUAGCUGGUUGGUGAGGUAACGGCCCACCAAGGCGACGAUCAGUAGCCGGCCUGAGAGGGUGAACGGCCACAUUGGGACUGAGACACGGCCCAA
rnacentral:rRNA from 1 species